rfam:Myotis brandtii contig176621, whole genome shotgun sequence.
GGCAGUUCCCGGGUAACGCACCCUGAAUCAUGUUCCCGCCUCUCUGGUUCCUGGGUGCAUCACCUGAGAACCAUG